rnacentral:rRNA from 1 species
GAUGAACGCUGGCGGCGUGCUUAACACAUGCAAGUCGAACGAUGAAGCCCAGCUUGCUGGGUGGAUUAGUGGCGAACGGGUGAGUAACACGUGAGUAACCUGCCCUUAACUCUGGGAUAAGCCUGGGAAACUGGGUCUAAUACCGGAUAGGAGCGUCCACCGCAUGGUGGGUGUUGGAAAGAUUUAUCGGUUUUGGAUGGACUCGCGGCCUAUCAGCUUGUUAGUGAGGUAAUGGCUCACCAAGGCGACGACGGGUAGCCGGCCUGAGAGGGUGACCGGCCACACUGGGACUGAGACACGGCCCAGACUCCUACGGGAGGCAGCAGUGGGGAAUAUUGCACAAUGGGCGCAAGCCUGAUGCAGCGACGUCGCGUGAGGGAUGACGGCCUUCGGGUUGUAAACCUCUUUCAGUAGGGAAGAAGCGAAAGUGACGGUACCUGCAGAAGAAGCACCGGCUAACUACGUG